AAACUUUGAAGUCUGAAAAAAACUAUGGAAAUAGCCUAAAACUUUCAACAACGGAUCUCUUGGUUCUGGCAUCGAUGAAGAACGCAGCGAAAUGCGAUAAGUAAUGUGAAUUGCAGAAUUCAGUGAAUCAUCGAAUCUUUGAACGCACAUUGCGCCCCUUGGUAUUCCGAGGGGCAUGCCUGUUCGAGCGUCAUU
rnacentral:rRNA from 1 species